ensembl:lncRNA
GUCUGUACUGCCACAUCCUACAGUUGCUCUCCUGGGUUCAGACAUGCUGUCUGCAGAAGGUUUCACUUUAGCUUUGUGCAGCAGCAGACAUUAAAUGAUGAUAAAAUGUGGCCGUAGAGGGAUGCAGGGGUGGUCAGACUGGAUUCAGACCAGGGGCUGUUCCCGUUUGUCUGUUUUACACCACGUCAUCGCCUCGGUCAUGACUUCUCCUUACUGUGACCCAGAAAUCAGCUCGUCUUUAUUCCUCUAGGAGACAGGAUGCACAGGUGGAGACAGGAUGCACAGGUGGAGACAGGAUGCACAGGUGGAGACAGGAUGCACAGGUGGGAACAGGAUGCACAGGUGGAGACAGGAUGCACAGGUGGAGACAGGAUGCACAGGUGGAGACAGUCUUUCCAUGAACCGGCUCGACCGUCUGCAGCCUCAACGUUGGUCCGAGCUGCUUUUCUGCUCACGGUUGUAAACAGCGAUCCUCUGAGUUAGUGUAGCUGAUCUCUUCAGCUCAAAGCAGUCUGACCUUUGACCUUUUUCAUCAUUAGGGGGUUUCAGUCUACAGAGCUUCUGUUUUUCACUGUUCUGUGUAAGAUCUGUGGUUAAAAGCAGUAUCGAUAACCGAUCAGUGAAAUUUACAUUAUUUCUUCUUUCCCCAGUAAAUUCAACAUCUUUGGAGUUUUAACUGAAGAUCCGACAGCGCCACCUUCACGCCUCGGCUUUGUUAACGAUGGCUCCUGAAAAUUAUGAUUUUUUUUUUUUUAUUCCACUUUUGUGGAUGUUUCAAACUCUGUUAUUCAACAAAAUGAUUUUUCAAGUAGUCGACGGUGAAACCGGCCUCUCCACGGCUCGGGCACCGAGACGGACACAAACACAUUUUUGAUUAAAUUAUAAAGACCCAAACAAUAUGGAUUAAAGCUGGAGCUCGGCCUAAUUAGUAAUCGGGUUAUCCCGCUCUGCAUGAUGGCGUAAUGCUCUAUUGUCUUUGCACGUCCACAUACGUGUAGUUUUCACAUCAAAGAAUGUGUAGAGUGGGAUUAUGCAUUUAAUCCUCCUUCAGAUUGAAAGUGGAGACACUCAAAGGCUGGCAGUGCAGUAAAGGGAUGAUAAUUAUGAGUGUCUCUGUCUGACAGCGUCUCUGAAACGCCACAUGUGCUUAUUAUUAGAUGAGUGGAUGUGCUUUUAUUCCAAUGAUUUCCAGUUUCAGACCGCUGACUCACCGUGGAUUUGACGUGCUGAUUUUUCACUUUUAGCUUCAGUGGUUUUGCAGCUUGAGAAAAAAAAGUCUCAAGUCCGGGGUUCAAAGCUUGGCUACGACUCAUUGCCGUCUUAUCGGGUGGAGGUUUUUCGGUGCUUGCGGAUGUGUUUUGGGCACAAAAGUCCAUCAGAUAUGUGAGAAUACUUUCACAGUAACAAGCCAUCUUAUCAUACGUAUUCCUUUCACAUGCAGCGUGUUUAUGAGAGCAAAUAACAUCCCAUUUCCUCCAAGAACACUCCGGCU